GGUCGCAGGAGAAUGAAGGAAAACAUAAUAAAUUGUUUGGCCUAUAUAGAAUUUGAUCCGCACUUAAGCAUCAGAACUUUUUCAGGCGAUUUAGGCAUACCUCGUUUUGUAGUUCACAGAAUUUUGCAGGAACACAGAUUUCAUCCCUUCCAUAUAGUACUCUACCAGGCAUUAAAUCUAGAAGACUAUGACAGAAGACUAGAUUAUUGUCAUUGGAUCGAUAAUAUGCUCGAAAAUCCAAAUUUUCUCAACGAAAUUUUAUGGACAGUCGUAGCAACUUUCAAUAGUGACGGAGAAGUUAACAGACAUAAUAUGCACUAUUGGUCUGAAACUAACCCUCGUUGGAUGCGCGAGAUCCAGCAUCAGGGAAGGUGGAGUGUUAAUGUCUGGUGCGGUGUAAUAGGAUCUCAGGUUAUAGGUUCAUUUUUAUUUGAUGAGAGCCUAACUGAAGAACGAUAUGUUGGAUUUUUAAGAAAUGAGCUCCCAGCAUUAUUAGAAGAGGUGUCUCUGGUUAUAAGAGCCAACAUGUUUUUACAACAUGACGGAUGCCCGGCUCAUUUCGCGGUACAAGUGCGAACGAUCCUUAAUCAGCGGUACCCUAAUCGGUGGAUUGGCAGAGGUAGCCUUUUCCCUUGGCUGGCAAGAUCGCCAGAUUUAAGCUGCCUUGACUUUUAUUUAUGGGGUAGAAUAAAAGCCAUUGUAUUUUCUUCGAUUCCUACCAAUAGAGAAAAUAUGAAACAGCGAAUAAGGGGCGCUAUUCGGAGUUUACCAGCCGCAGAAAUAGAGGCAGCCGUGGAAUCAACCCGACGAAGAGUUCAAAAUUGUAUAGAACAAGACGGACGACAAUUUGAACACCUCGGCAGGCAUUAGAUUAGUGUAGGAAUUAAAAUAAUAUUAUUUUUUAUUCCAUUCCAAAUAAGCAAGAUUUUUAUCUUUUUUCAGUUUAAUCGGUACCAAGUGCCAAAACUAUCACAAUAUUUUUGUCGUGUUACCAUGACGCGUCGACGUUGAUAAAUAUAUAAAACAUUCCUAUG